rnacentral:lncRNA from 1 species
UGAAGAAUCCCACUGCCAGAUAGGUGUUGCUUGAAUGCAUUGCUUAUGUACUCUCCUCCAUUAUCAGACCUGAAAACUUUAAUCUUGGCAUGAUAUUGGUUAAUCACAUAAGUUUGAAAGUUUCUAAAUGCAUCAAGCACCCUAUCUUUGGUUGGAAUUAAAGUUAACCAGGUGUAUUUGGAUUUUUCAUCAAUGAAAGUGACAUAAUACUUCUGAUUUUCCCUAGAUAAGCAGGGAGCUGUCCAAACAUCCGAGUGAACAAGAUCAAAGCAAUUUUCAUAAAUAGUAGAAGAGUUUGGAAAAACAGUUUUACAAUGCUUGCCUAAAAUACAAGCUUCACAAUCAUUAUUCUCAAAAGAAACACCUGGCAACAUCAGUUUUAAAGCUUUAUUAUGAGGGUGUCCUAGUCUAGCAUGCCACAAUGCAUUCUUGCUUAGACUAGUAGAAGCAGAAGAAAAGGAACAACUAAAUUUUGAACUAGGAGCAGAGAAGCUCAAAUUCUCUAGCACAUAAAGAUCUCCCUUGGUAACUCCACUUCCAAGCACCUUAUGGCUUUCAAUAUCCUGAAAUUUUACACUGUUAGGGCUGAAAAUGACAUUACAAUUCAGAUCAGUAGCACACUUCUUAACUGAAAGAAGAUUAGAAGUAAAAUCAGGCAUAUAAAGCGCUUUGGAAUCUUUAUCAAAUAGCUUGAGCUCUCCUAUUCCUUUAAUAGGAAUUUUAGCACCAUUGGCUAUCAUCACAUUACCAUGAGCAGGUUCAAUGUUGUUAAUCAAUCUAGUGUCACUUAUCAUGUGAUGAGAUGCACCAGAAUCAACAAUGAGAGGCUUAUAUGAACUAGAUGUGGAGUUAGCUAGAUGCGCUAGUAUACUAGAGGGCUUAUAUGCAUGGGCAGAAUCAUAUGCAUGAUCAAUCCUAUCAAAGAUACCCUUUCUAAGAUGAUUAUACAUGUCAAAUGAGUCCUCUAGUAACCUAUCAGUUCUAGCAAUCAUAGAAGCUCCAUGAGAGUAUGCAAGGGUGUUACCAUGUUCCUUGAAGAGCUUGAUGAGAACAUCCAAGUCUGAUCUCUUCAAGUAUUCAUCACCACUAGUGCUGCCUCUAGAACUAGGACCACCAGUAUAAGCCACCAAAGACUUCCCAUUAUCCAUCUCUCCAGCCUGUUCCUUGCUUGCACCACCACCACUACUCUCCACCAUGUGAGCUUUGGCCUCUUUGAACUUGGCUGGCUUCAAAUGAGGAUGUAGGAUCCAGCAUUGGCUCUUCUUGUGGCCUUGCUUCUUGCAGUGAUCACAACUCCCACCAAACUUCUCAUACUUGCCAUGGAUGGCCUUGUUAGCUUGUGCAAGUUCUCCCUGAUCUCCUUGAGCUUGCGCUGCUUGAUUUGCCAAAGCUAGCUCCUUUCCCUUCUUGUUAAAUAGCUCCAUGUUCCCAUAUUCCUUUUGGAUCCUAGCACACACCUCUUCUAGGUUAGGUAGAGUCUCAUCUCUCAACAUGUGCUGAAUGAACCCUCCAUAUGCUGGAUUCAAAGUGAGAAGCAGUCCAAAGACUUUAUCCUGCUCCCUUCUCUUGUUAAGCUCCAUUGGAUCAAUGGUAUUUGGCCUCAACAUCUCUAGUUCAGACCACAGUGCUCUGUACUUGCCCAAAUGCUUCUCAAAGUCCAUAUCUUCUUGUACUAGACUAUUGAGAGCUUGCUUCACCUCAAAGACCCUGUUGAGAUUUGAGGUGUUUCCAUAGAUUUGCUUCAAUGUAUCCCAAAGUUCUUUAGCUGUAUCACAGUAGCUAUAAGCAUCCAUCAAGUUCUGAUCCAAGGAGGCAAGAAGAGCAUUAAUCACCAUACAAUCAGCUUGUUGCCAUUUAUCAUAGGCAGUCUCACUUUCGUCCUCUUCUUCCUCCUUUUCUUUGAUCUCUUGCUUUGGAAUCACACUGGAUGUGAGAUGUUUGAGCAAUCCCUUGCCUCCAAUAGCAUUCCUGGCCAUCCUAGACCACACAAGGUAGUUGUUUCCCUUGAACUUGGUAGCAAUCUUCAUGUAGACUCCACCACUAUCUUCCAUCUUUCAAAAAGCUUCAAUCUUGACUCUAGUAACCCACUAGCUUGAAAAGACUUGAACUUUUUCACUUAGAUCCUUAAGAACACCUCAAAGACCUCUCAGUUUGUACACAAAAGCACCAAUACACUUCAAAGACUUGACCUUUAAGCUUGAACACGGAUCUGAGCUCUCCAAACCACCAAAGAAACCAGCUUUAGGCUAGUUCUUCAGUAAAAACACCAACAGAAACUUUCUUGAGAUUUUCAAAGAUCUAGCCUUGGAUAAUCUCAAGAACACUCAAGAACUCAAGAACAUUCAACCUGGCUCUGAUACCAUAAGAUUUCUAGACAUCUUGAAUAAUAAAUGAGAUUAGAAAGAGAUUUGAGAGGAUUAUUAAAGAGAUUAGAGAUUAGAGAUUGGAGAUUAAUGAGAUUUGGAAAUGAGAUUAAAGGCUAGAGAGAGAAUUCAAAGAUGACCAGAGACUUUUUAUUAUCUUGCUUAAAUCUUAAUGAAGAGAUUAUAAAGUUUAUAUAGAGAGGAUACAAGGGUUUUAAGAGCUUGAGAAAGGCUGUCAUGGGCUUCUUUCUUUCUGGGCCGAGUACUGUAGCAACAGUCUCAAGUCUGGUGCCUAACUUCUCAAGUCUGGUGCCUUAGCAACAGUCUCAAGUCUGGUGCCUAACUUCUCAAGUCUGGUGCCUUUGAUAUCCUUCUUUCAUAUAGCUUGAUCUCUUCAUCUCAACACCAACGACCUAACCAAGUAGAUUCAUGACCUUGGACUGAAGAAGCCUUGCUCAUCUUUUUUUCCUCCAUAACCAUAUUACCAUGUUCAGACAUUGUACCAAACAGAGAUCUUCUCCAAAAGUUCUGACCAAACCACCUGUAUGAUGUAAAUUACAGUUUCUUUCUCAAUUCUAAAACUUUUAAGAACAAGUUUCAACAUUUCACCCAAAUAUAUAAACUUUGAUACGUAAUUCGUGGAUUAUUACACUUAAUAUCAACACAUUUGUCUUUCAAUCAACUCUCCAACAUAGAAAGACAAGCAAUUUGCUUUAAGUUUUCACUUAGAGAACAUACAAAUCUAUGCAAGCGAUGAGCAGAUUUUACCAUUUACAGAUCUGAGGUUGAGAUUAUUACCAGAGACCAGAAUACGUGGAGAGACACUGUCCAAAGAACGAAUAUAAAAAGAUGAAAGCUCGAUUUAUUCCCUCUCUUUCCGAAGAAAUGUAAUAGUCUUAACUACAAUUUAUCAGUGUCUUCUUCUUAAAGAAAAAAAUCCAAACAAUCAAAUGGAAACGAGGAAGAAAAAGAAGAAGAAGAAGACGGCUAAGAAUAUCACCAAUCCACUUCUACAACAAGGUGUUAAAAAGAAACCUCGUAUUUCGUAUAUCAUCGAGUUACAAUUAUUUCCGAAUUCUUUUUUAUUAAAUUCAAAAUCUUAUUUUAAGUGAAAAAAUGACGUGUUCCUUUUCCUGCCUUGUUUAGUGCAAAUGGG